UUUGGGCCUGUAAGCCUGUUGGGUCUACUUUGAAAGUAGGUAGUGACUAUGGGUGGUGUCUUGGGU
rnacentral:tRNA from 1 species